GAAGGUGGAGUCUCCAGCCAUCCAGCUACAAGCUAGGAAGACACCUUGUAGAAGGCUCCUUACAGGGAGGAAACCGAGUCGGAAAGGCGAGGCAGCAGUGUGGGCUCACCCGGAGCAAGACGUGUGAAAUCAGCCUUUGACAGCGUGGCUGAAUGAGGAUCUGGAGAUGCGAGGCACUGGGCAGACUCUGACUAGAUCCCUGGAUACGAAGAGGCAAAGCCAGCUCUAGAGGGAUUCAUAUCCUCCCGAGAGCUGGAUGACAGCAGCAGUGAGUCCAGUGACCUCCAGCUGGAAGGCCCCAGCACCCUCAGGGUCCUGGACGAGAACCUUGCUGACCCCCGAGCAGAAGACAGACCUCUGGUUUUCUUUGACCUCAAGAUUGACAAUGAAAGUGGGUUCUCCUGGGGCUACCCCCACCCCUUUCUAACUUAGUCUCUGAGUCCCAGAAAGAAGUGCAGGCAGAGCCAUCUGCCAGGCCCAGGAGAGCUCUGAGCUCUGGCCAACAACUGCAGCCAGGCUGGGCAGAGCACUCCGGCUCACCUGGGCUCCUGGCGUGUCAUUUGCUGGCUUGAAUAAAGAUGUCCACUUUAUCCA
rnacentral:sRNA from 1 species